UCACUGUACAAACAAGAACCCUUCUACCAAUAUUUCUCUGUGUCUACUGACGUAGUUCACAUGAUUACAACAUAAAGCUGAAUGAAAAGUAACAACGUUUUCAAAUCAUACCUAUGUAUUAUCAUCUAAAUCAUCAAAAUUCAAUAGAAAGUUUGAAGCUUUGAUAUCAAUAAGCAUCAGAUUAGUAGAAAGUUGUAAACUCACCCAUGGAGCCAAGCCGAGAUUUUUUCGAUGACCCGGAAUUAGAUGAUGUCGUACCUCCGGCUGCAGCUGCUUGCUCUCUCCUCUCCUUAGCAGACCAGCUGCUCCCGGCGGGCGCAUGGCCUCUAGGAAUAAAGUCAGGAAGCUAAUAAGGAACCUGAAAAAUAACCAAUCAGGCUUACCAUUUUUCAUAUUCAACUUAAGAUCAAACUACCAACAUAUUAUAAAUUAACCCAAAACUCAUGUAUAGAUCUUUUAUGUUUUUAAAAGAACUUAUCAAACGUGCCUCAUGUUAGUUGAUGUGGCCAGCUCCACGGGUAUAAUGGAAGCUACAUACAUUGUCGAGGGCCCCCUCCGACGUCCUUUACCCCACCUUCGCCUCCACUACCACCAACACCUUCAAGUCCGCCAACAUGCUACGUCUUGUUAGCCCAGAACAUUUCCUGUUUAAAAUUUAGGUUUCACAGAGAUAAAAUUUUGAUUGGCCUUAGUCCUUUCAUUAUAUCCGUGGAACCCUUUCACAAUUCUGGUAUCAAGUAACAGUCACAAAAAAAAAAUUAAGAUCAACCUAAGAAAAGGUACGGAAUGGCCUACUAAUCUAAAUUGUGAUAUACAUAUAUGUAAUUUCCACAAAUUCUUAAGAAAUCAACGAUUAAACGCUUAUAAAUCAUGAAUCAUAUCUAAGGGAAAGUGCAAUAAUCAGAAUGAAACUUGGGGUUCAAAGAACGAAAUAAAUAAAAAGAAAAAGAGGACACAAAAUCCAGAAAGUGAAAAUAUCAGAGAGAUUACGCUGAAACCCCACAUUCAAGAAUCGCUAGCAGAGGAGUGAACAUUCUCCAUUGAUCCCAUAUCUUGUGUUCUCCUCACUUUCGAUGUAGAAUUCUCCCUGAACUAUAAAAUUGAAUACACAAAAAAAACUUAAAUUAGAGGCUUGGUUUUACAAUAUGAAUAAAGGAUAUAGACUGAAGAUUUUCUCAAAAAGAAAAGAUAUCUCAAGGAAAAAAAAACUUAAAUUAGAUUUGCAGAAGGAAUGAAAUCUAUAG
rnacentral:lncRNA from 1 species